rnacentral:rRNA from 1 species
CCUACGGGUGGCACCAGUGGGGAAUAUUGGACAAUGGGCGCAAGCCUGAUCCAGCCAUGCCGCGUGAGUGAUGAAGGCCCUAGGGUUGUAAAGCUCUUUCACCGGUGAAGAUAAUGACGGUAACCGGAGAAGAAGCCCCGGCUAACUUCGUGCCAGCAGCCGCGGUAAUACGAAGGGGGCUAGCGUUGUUCGGAUUUACUGGGCGUAAAGCGCACGUAGGCGGGCUAAUAAGUCAGGGGUGAAAUCCCGGGGCUCAACCCCGGAACUGCCUUUGAUACUGUUAGUCUUGAGUAUGGAAGAGGUGAGUGGAAUUCCGAGUGUAGAGGUGAAAUUCGUAGAUAUUCGGAGGAACACCAGUGGCGAAGGCGGCUCACUGGUCCAUUACUGACGCUGAGGUGCGAAAGCGUGGGGAGCAAACAGGAUUAGAUACCCUUGUAGUC